rnacentral:rRNA from 1 species
AUUGAACGCUGGCGGCAGGCCUAACACAUGCAAGUCGAGCGGAUGAGAAGAGCUUGCUCUUCGAUUCAGCGGCGGACGGGUGAGUAAUGCCUAGGAAUCUGCCUGGUAGUGGGGGACAACGUUUCGAAGGGAACGCUAAUACCGCAUACGUCUUACGUGAGAAAGAAGGGGCCCUCCGGGCCUUGCGCUAUCAGAUGAACCAAGGUCGGAUUAGCUAGUUGGUGAAGUAAUGGCUCACCAAGGCGACGAUCCGUAACUGGUCUGAGAGGAUGAUCAGUCACACUGGAACUGAGACACGGUCCAGACUCCUACGGGAGGCAGCAGUGGGGAAUAUUGGACAAUGGGCGAAAGCCUGAUCCAGCCAUGCCGCGUGUGUGAAGAAGGUCUUCGGAUUGUAAAGCACUUUAAGUUGGGAGGAAGGGCAGUAAGUUAAUACCUUGCUGUUUUGACGUUACCGACAGAAUAAGCACCGGCUAACUCUGUGCCAGCAGCCGCCGUAACAC